CCUACGGGGGGCAGCAGUAGGGAAUAUUGGGCAAUGGGCGCAAGCCUGACCCAGCAACGCCGCGUGAAGGAAGAAGGCUUUCGGGUUGUAAACUUCUUUUGUCAGGGACGAAGCAAGUGACGGUACCUGACGAAUAAGCCACGGCUAACUACGUGCCAGCAGCCGCGGUAAUACGUAGGUGGCAAGCGUUAUCCGGAUUUAUUGGGUGUAAAGGGCGUGUAGGCGGGAAUGCAAGUCAGAUGUGAAAUCCGGGGGCUCAACCCCCGAACUGCAUUUGAAACUGUUGGUCUUGAGUAUCGGAGAUG
rnacentral:rRNA from 1 species